rnacentral:rRNA from 1 species
AACCUGCCCAAGAGACUGGGAUAACACCUGGAAACAGAUGCUAAUACCGGAUAACAACACUAGACGCAUGUCUAGAGUUUGAAAGAUGGUUCUGCUAUCACUCUUGGAUGGACCUGCGGUGCAUUAGCUAGUUGGAAAGGUAACGGCUUACCAAGGCAAUGAUGCAUAGCCGAGUUGAGAGACUGAUCGGCCACAUUGGGACUGAGACACGGCCCAAACUCCUACGGGAGGCAGCAGUAGGGAAUCUUCCACAAUGGACGAAAGUCUGAUGGAGCAACGCCGCGUGAGUGAAGAAGGGUUUCGGCUCGUAAAGCUCUGUUGGUAGUGAAGAAAGAUAGAGGUAGUAACUGGCCUUUAUUUGACGGUAAUUACUUAGAAAGUCACGGCUAACUACGUGCCAGCAGCCGCGGUAAUACGUAGGUGGCAAGCGUUGUCCGGAUUUAUUGGGCGUAAAGCGAGUGCAGGCGGUUCAAUAAGUCUGAUGUGAAAGCCUUCGGCUCAACCGGAGAAUUGCAUCAAAAACUGUUGAACUU